CUUUAACGAAUAAGAGGUCCUGCCUGCCCCCUGACCAUGUAGUUUAACGGCCGCGGUAUUUUAACCGUGCAAAGGUAGCGUAAUCAUUUGUCUUUUAAAUAAGGACCCGUAUGAACGGCAACACGAGGGCUUGACUGUCUCCUUUUUCAAGUCAGUGAAAUUGAUUUUUCCGUGCAGAAGCGGGAAUUUUUACAUAAGACGAGAAGACCCUGUGGAGCUUUAGACACCAAGACAGACUAUGUAAGAACAGCCCUUUAUUAAAAGACCGAACAAAUUUUACCUGCCCUAAUGUCUUCGGUUGGGGCGACCCUGGGGAGUCACAAAACCCCCACGUGGAAUGGAAGCGACCAACUUAUGCUACCACAACCAAGAGCUUCCCCUCAAAUUAACAGAAUUUCUGACCAAACAUGAUCCGGCAACGCCGAUUAACGAACCAAGUUACCCCAGGGAUAACAGCGCAAUCCUCUUUUAGAGCCCAUAUCGACAAGAAGGUUUACGACCUCGAUGUUGGAUCAGGACAUCCUAAUGGUGCAACCGCUAUUAAGGGUUCGUUU
rnacentral:rRNA from 1 species